UGGGGACAAUAAGCAGGUUCUUUCUGAGGAGCAGUGUGCAGUUGAGAUCAAGAGCCAGAGCUCAACAUGGCCGUGCUGGUUUGGCCUAAGAGACUGCCCUGUCCAGAAAGAGGACGGGAACACAAAUCAGGUGCUCCCAAAGAGCAGCGUCCAGUGGAGAGCAAGUGCCCAACUCUCUUCCUGACCAUCUCUCUGACCAUGCCCCCAUUUGAUGGAUAUGUCCCUAGCUGUGCCAGCAGUCUCAGCAUGGUCAGCAAGUGGGACAAAAAGCUGGUCCUUCCCAAGGAGCAGCGUCCAGAUGACACCAAGAGCCAGACCUCAACAUGGCCCUGCAGGUUUAGCCUAACAGACUACCGCAUCGGGAACGAGGACGGGAACAAGAACCAGGUCCUUCCCGAUGAGCAGGGUCCAGAUGAGACGAAGAGCCAAAACUCAACAUGGCCAUGCUGCUUUGGCCAAAGCACCUGCCCCGUCAGGAACAAAAAUGGGGACAAUGUGCAGGUAACCACAUCCUUACUGAGGAGCAGUGUCCAGAUGAGACCAAGAGCCAGAGCUCAACAUGGCCAUGCUGGUUUGGCCUAAGAGACUGCCCUGUCCAGAAAGAGGACGGGAACAGAAAUCAGGUGCACCCCGAAGACCAGCGUCCCCAUGAGACUGUGAGCCAGACAUCCACCUGGCCCUGCUGCUUUGGCCUUAGAUACUGGCCCACGACAAACAAGAACAGGGACAAAAACCAGGUCCUUCCUGAGGAGCAGUGUCCAGA
rnacentral:lncRNA from 1 species